rnacentral:tRNA from 1 species
UGGGGCGUGGUGUAAUGGCAGCACGACAGGUUCUGGCCCUGUUAGUCGAGGUUCGAGUCCUCGCGCCCCAGCCG